rnacentral:rRNA from 1 species
AUGACUGUACCCGAAUAAGAAGGUCCGGGCUAACUUCGUGCCAGCAGCCGCGGUAAUACGAAGGGACCUAGCGUAGUUCGGAAUUACUGGGCUUAAAGAGUUCGUAGGUGGUUGAAAAAGUUGGUGGUGAAAUCCCAGAGCUUAACUCUGGAACUGCCAUCAAAACUUUUCAGCUAGAGUAUGAUAGAGGAAAGCAGAAUUUCUAGUGUAGAGGUGAAAUUCGUAGAUAUUAGAAAGAAUACCAAUUGCGAAGGCAGCUUUCUGGAUCAUUACUGACACUGAGGAACGAAAGCAUGGGUAGCGAAGAGGAUUAGAUACCCUCGUAGUCCAUGCCGUAAACGAUGUGUGUUAGACGUUGGAAAUUUAUUUUCAGUGUCGCAGGGAAACCGAUAAACACACCGCCUGGGGAGUACGACCGCAAGGUUAAAACUCAAAUGAAUUGACGGGGACCCGCACAAGUAGUGGAGCAUGUGGUUUAAUUCGAAGAUACGCGCAGAACCUUACCAACACUUGACAUGUUCGUCGCGACUCUAAGAGAUUAGAGUUUUCGGUUCGGCCGGACGAAACACAGGUGCUGCAUGGCUGUCGUCAGCUCGUGUCGUGAGAUGUUGGGUUAAGUCCCGCAACGAGCGCAACCCUCACUUUUAGUUGCCAUCAUUAAGUUGGGCACUCUGAAAGAACUGCCAGUGAUAAGCUGGAGGAAGGUGGGGAUGACGUCAAGUCCUCAUGGCCCUUACGUGUUGGGCUACACACGUGCUACAAUGGCAUCUACAACAGGAAGCAAAACGGCAACGUCUAGCAAAUCCCGAAAAGAUGCCUCAGUUCGGAUUGCACUCUGCAACUCGAGUGCAUGAAGCUGGAAUUACUAGUAAUCGUGGAUCAGCGUGCCACGGUGAAUGCGUUCCCGGGUCUUGUA